UACGUAGGAGGCGAGCGUUGUCCGGAAUUACUGGGCGUAAAGAGCGUGUAGGCGGCUUGGUAAGUCCGCUGUGAAAGUCCAGGGCUCAACCCUGGAAUGCCGGUGGAAACUGUCAAGCUUGAGUCCGGAAGAGGCGAGUGGAAUUCCUGGUGUAGCGGUGAAAUGCGCAGAUAUCAGGAGGAACACCGGUGGCGAAGGCGGGUCUCUGGGCCGUAACUGACGCUGAGGAGCGAAAGCGUGGGGAGCGAACAGG
rnacentral:rRNA from 1 species